rnacentral:tRNA from 1 species
CAAAGAGUAGUUUAAUAAAAAUAAUAAUUUUGGAGAUUAUUGAUAAUAUAUUUGUAUUUUCUUUGA